UACAGAGGUGGCAAGCGUUGUUCGGAAUUACUGGGCGUAAAGGGCGCGUAGGCGGCCUACUAAGUCAGACGUGAAAUCCCCCGGCUUAACCUGGGAACUGCGUCUGAUACUGGAAGGCUUGAGUAUGGGAGAGGGAUGUAGAAUUCCAGGUGUAGCGGUGAAAUGCGUAGAUAUCUGGAGGAACACCGGUGGCGAAGGCGGCAUCCUGGACCGGCAUUGACGCUGAGGCGCGAAAGCCAGGGGAGCAAACGGG
rnacentral:rRNA from 1 species